rnacentral:rRNA from 1 species
CCUACGGGUGGCAGCAGUGGGGAAUAUUGGACAAUGGGGGCAACCCUGAUCCAGCCAUGCCGCGUGUGUGAAGAAGGCCCUCGGGUUGUAAAGCACUUUCAGUGAGGAAGAACGCCUGGUGGUUAAUACCCAUCAGGAAAGACAUCACUCACAGAAGAAGCACCGGCUAACUCCGUGCCAGCAGCCGCGGUAAUACGGAGGGUGCGAGCGUUAAUCGGAAUUACUGGGCGUAAAGCGCGCGUAGGUGGCUUGAUAAGCCGGUUGUGAAAGCCCCGGGCUCAACCUGGGAACGGCAUCCGGAACUGUCAAGCUAGAGUGCAGGAGAGGAAGGUAGAAUUCCCGGUGUAGCGGUGAAAUGCGUAGAGAUCGGGAGGAAUACCAGUUGCGAAGGCGGCCUUCUGGACUGACACUGACACUGAGGUGCGAAAGCGUGGGUAGCAAACAGGAUUAGAUACCCUUGUAGUC